AUUAUUAAAUUUAUUAUUAUUAUUUAUCAAUAAAGUAUUUUUUUGUUUAAUUAUUAAUAAAGAAAAAAUUAUUAUUAUUAUAGUUUAUAGUAUUGUGAAAGAAAAUUUAAAUAUAUUGAAAAUUUAAAUUUUUAUAAGAAUAAUUAAUUUUUAGUACCUUGUGUAUCAGGGUUUAUUAAAAAUUAAUUAUAUAAAAUAAUAUUCUCGAUUUUAAAAGAGUUAAAAAUUUAUUUUUUUUAAUGUAAAAUAAUUAUUGUAAAUAAAUUUUUAGUAAUGAAAUGUUAUUCGUUUUUAAAUAUAUCUAGUUUUUUAAGAAAUAAAUUUAAUUUAUUUAUUAAUAAAAAUUAAUAUUAUUAUUAAUUUUAAUUUUAUUAAUAAAAAAUAUUUUUAGGGAUAAGCUUAAUAAUAAAUUUAUAUAAUAUUAUUUAUUAUAAAAUUAAAUAUAGGAUUAAAAAUUUCUUUUAUUUAUAAUUUGUUAUAAUUAAUUUUUUAAUUUUAUUAUUUAUAUAAUUAUUUAUAUUUUUUAUUAAAAUAUUUUAUUUAAUUUUUUAAUAAAAGUAAUAAUGAUAAAAUUAGUAUAAUAUUUUUUAUAUAUAAAUUAAAUUUAUUAGGUUAAUUUAAGGAAUUCGGCAAAUUAAUUUUUCGCCUGUUUAAUAAAAACAUGUCUUUUUGAUUAUAAUUUAAAGUCUAACCUGCCCUAUGAUUAUUUAAAUGGCCGCGGUAUUUUGACCGUGCAAAGGUAGCAUAAUCAUUAGUUUUUUAAUUGGAAGCUAGAAUGAAUGGUUGAACGAAAAAAUUACUGUCUCAAUUUAAUUUUAUUAGAAUUUUAUUUUUAAGUUAAAAAGCUUAAAUAUAUUUAAAAGACGAGAAGACCCUAUAGAGUUUUAUAUUAAAAUAAUUUUUUAUUUUAUUAAUUUAAUUAUUUGUUUUAAUAUUUUGUUGGGGUGAUAAAUAAAUUUAUUAAACUUUAUUUUUUUAAAUACAUUUAUUUAUGAAUUUAUGAUCCAUUAUUAAUGAUUAAAAGAUUAAAUUACCUUAGGGAUAACAGCGUUAUCUUUUUAGAGAGUUCAAAUCGAAAAAAAUGAUUGCGACCUCGAUGUUGGAUUAAAAUUAAUUUUUGGUGUAGAAGCUAAAAAUUUUAAGUCUGUUCGACUUUUAAAAUUUUACAUGAUCUGAGUUUAAACCGGUGUGAGCCAGGUUGGUUUCUAUCUUUAAAUUAAAAAGAUAUUUUAGUACGAAAGGACCAAAUAUUUAUAAUAUUUAUUUAAAAAUUGAAUUUUAUU
rnacentral:rRNA from 1 species